rnacentral:lncRNA from 1 species
CUUCAGGAGUGAAGCUGCAGACCUUCGCGUGAUGGAGGUUGAGAAGUCCAACUUCAAGGCACCACAUCUGGUGAGAGCCUUCAUUCCGAUGACAGCCUUCAUGCUGGUAAGAUUUUCUUCAGAGUUCCAAGGUGGUGCACGGCAUCACAUGGCGAAGGAAAUGAGCGUGCUAGCUCAGGUGUCUCUUCCUCUUCUUAUAAAGCCACCAGUCCCACUCCUGUGCUAGUAACUCUUUAAUCCAUCAACCCAUUAAUCCAUGAAUAGAUUAACCCAUGAGGCCUCUGCCCUCAGGACCCAAUCACCUCUUAAAGGCCUGACCUGUCAAUAUUGCCAUACUGGGGACUCAGUUUCAACAUGAGUUUUGAAAGGGACAAACAUUCAAUCCAUAGUAACAUGAGAGCUUUUCAAAGCCCUUCUUUGUUGAAGUAUGUCCUUCUCCAGCCUCUUUUUUCCCAGGCUUUUUGUUUUUUCUAUUGCUUGUGCAGCUGUUAUCCUUUGCUACAGGUGGCAAUAGCUAAUACAUUUGCCUUUAAAUUUGUUUGACAAACACCACCCUGGAAGUAGCCUCAACUCUGGGGAAGCUCCAAGACAGGUAAAAUACAGGUAAGCCCUUGAGCAGAUCCUUCAGGAAGCUACCAUAUGGGUCAAAACACAGAACCACAAUUCUUUAAUUCUUUGAGAAUAAGGUCUGUAUUGUUCCCUCUGUUACCAGCAACCUGCAGCAGGAAAAUGGGCUUCAGUUUUCAAGUCUGCAGCUGAGUUGGGAAGUUGCGGACAGUAACCAGAUGGCGUCUCACUCUGUCACCCAGGCUGGAGUGCAGUGG